UACGGAGGGUGCGAGCGUUGUCCGGAUUUAUUGGGUUUAAAGGGUGCGUAGGUGGCUUUAUAAGUCAGUGGUGAAAUACAGCCGCUUAACGGUUGAGGUGCCAUUGAUACUGUAGAGCUGAAACAAUUGGAGGCUGCCGGAAUGGAUGGUGUAGCGGUGAAAUGCAUAGAUAUCAUCCAGAACACCGAUUGCGAAGGCAGGUGGCUACGUUUGAUUUGACACUGAGGCACGAAAGCAUGGGGAGCAAACAGG
rnacentral:rRNA from 1 species